rnacentral:rRNA from 1 species
CACGUAGGCACCAAGCGUUGUCCGGAUUUAUUGGGCGUAAAGAGCUCGUAGGCGGUUGAGUAAGUCGGGUGUGAAAACUCUGGGCUUAACCCAGAGCCGCCACUCGAUACUGCUCUGACUUGAGUUCGGUAGGGGAGCAGGGAAUUCCUAGUGUAGCGGUGAAAUGCGCAGAUAUCAGGAGGAACACCGGUGGCGAAGGCGGUUCUCUGGGCAUUACCUGACGCUGAGGAGCGAAAGUGUGGGGAGCGAACAGG